rnacentral:rRNA from 1 species
UACGGAGGGUGCAAACGUUGCUCGGAAUCAUUGGGCGUAAAGCGCACGUAGGCGGCCUGUUAAGUCGGGUGUGAAAGCCCUGGGCUCAACCCAGGAAGUGCACUCGAAACUGGCGGGCUUGAAUAUGGAAGAGGGUCGCGGAAUUCCCGGUGUGAGAGGUGAAAUUCGUAGAUAUCGGGAGGAACACCAGUGGCGAAGGCGGCGCCUGGGCCAAUAUUGACGCUGAGGUGCGAAAGCGUGGGGAGCAAACAGG